rnacentral:pre_miRNA from 1 species
AUUGGUCUCUGUGUGGAUGGUGUUCAGCACCAAGGACAGGUAUAUUGGUCUGUGUGGAUGGUGUUCAGCACCAAGGACAGGUUUGUUUGUCU